rnacentral:rRNA from 1 species
AUUGAACGCUGGCGGCAGGCCUAACACAUGCAAGUCGAGCGGAGCGGCGGGCGGGUGAGUAAUGCCUAGGAAUCUGCCUGGUAGUGGGGGAUAACGUCCGGAAACGGGCGCUAAUACCGCAUACUAUCAGAUGAGCCUAGGUCGGAUUAGCUAGUUGGUUGGGUAAAGGCCUACCAAGGCGACGAUCCGUAACUGGUCUGAGAGGAUGAUCAGUCACAUUGGGAAUGAGACACGGUCCAGACUCCUACGGGGGGCAGCAGUGGGGAAUAUUGGACAAUGGGCGCAAGCCUGAUGCAGCCAUGCCGCGGGGUUGAAGAAGGCCUUCGGGUUGUAAAGUACUUUCAGCGGGGAGGCGUUACCCGCAGAAGAAGCACCGGCUAACUCCGUGCCAGCAGCCGCGGUAAUAC